GACGACCGCUGGCGGCAGGCCUAACACAUGCAAGUCGAGCGGAGCGGCGGCCGGGUGAGUCAUACCUAGGAAUCUGCGUGGUCGUGGGGGGUCACAUCCGGAAACGGACGCUAAUACCGCAUACUAUCAGAUGAGCCUCGGUCGGAUUAGCUAGUUGGUGGGGUAAAGGCCUACCAAGGCGACGAUCCGUAACUGGUCUGAGAGGAUGAUCAGUCACACGGGAACUGAGACACGGUCCAGACUCCUACGGGAGGCAGCAGUGGGGAAUAGUGGACAAGGGGCGAAAGCAAGAUCCAGCCAUGCAGCGUGUGUGAAGAAGGUCUUCGGAUCGUAAGGGACAGAAAUUUGUGAGGCGCUAGCAACACAAUACGCAGCGGCUAACUUCGGGCCAGCCGCCGCGGUAAUAC
rnacentral:rRNA from 1 species